rnacentral:rRNA from 1 species
UACGGGGGGAGCAAGCGUUGCUCGGAUUUACUGGGCGUAAAGGGCGCGUAGGCGGCGCGACAAGUCACUUGUGAAAUCUCUGGGCUCAACCCAGAACGGUCAAGUGAUACUGUCGUGCUAGAGUGCGGAAGGGGCAACUGGAAUUCUUGGUGUAGCGGUGAAAUGCGUAGAUAUCAAGAGGAACACCUGCGGCGAAGGCGGGUUGCUGGGCCGACACUGACGCUGAGGCGCGAAAGCUAGGGGAGCGAACGGG